UUAGUUUUAAGGGUACAGUUUAGUGGCACUAAUACUUUCACAUUGUUGUGCAACUAUCACUCUUAUUUGUCUCCAGAACUUUUCCAUCAUCCCAAACUGAAAGUCUGUACCCAUGAAAUUCUACCUCCCGAUUCCCCCCUCCUCCUAGCUCCUAGUAACCACUAUUCUACUUGCUGUCUCUAUGGAUGUGACUAUUGGAAGUACUUCAUCAAAUUAUUUCAAGAGAAGAAAUAUACAAAGCAAUUAAGAAUAUGGACCGAAGCCAAAUUUGUGGGAUCAAAUCCCAUGCCCACCAGAUGCUAGCAUUAACUUGUGUAUGCUGCUGAUUCAUCAGGCGUGGGACAUAACCAGCACAGACUGCUUCUCGAAGAACUUGAGUGUUAAAGAAAACAGAAGAUACAGGAUGGCAAUUAGACGGCCAUGGGGAGCCUUUGGUGAAAGAUCAAAGAGCCAUGAUUGUGCACAUUUCAAAGAAAGAGAAGCAUCAGGGAGGGGACAACUGGAGGAGCCAAGAUCUUGGAAUUCAUCUUUCAGUGGAAAGACUUUCAACAGAAAGAGGAUCUCAAUUCCUAACUAAAGAAUAAAGGAUAGGAACAUAGACUAAAGGGGAAAGAAGGACAGGGACAGGAUUGAAGGAAUUCUAUUUUAUAUCCUCCUCUAAUCCCCUGGUGCUUUUUCCCAGUGAAGCAGCCAGGACCUUUUCUGAAAAGGCUAAGAUGCAUGAGGAGAAUGGUAAGAAUUAGGGAGAGGAUGAGAAGAGGCUCAUGGGAGAAACAGAAAUGUGCUGUUGCCUAUCAGAGAGCACUAGCAAGGAAAGAAACUGUCCUGGUACCAAUGAGCACAUUGUGACUUUCUUCCCGUAGAGUUGCCACAUUUAGCAAAAAAUAAAAAUACAUA